rnacentral:rRNA from 1 species
GACGAACGCUGGCGGCGUGCUUAACACAUGCAAGUCGAGCGGUAAGGCCCUUUCGGGGGUACACGAGCGGCGAACGGGUGAGUAACACGUGGGUGACCUGCCCUCAGCUCUGGGAUAAGCCUGGGAAACCGGGUCUAAUACCGGAUAUGACUCCAUGACGCAUGUUGUGGGGUGGAAAGCCUUGUGCGGCUGAGGAUGGGCCCGCGGCCUAUCAGCUUGUUGGUGGGGUGAUGGCCUACCAAGGCGACGACGGGUAGCCGGCCUGAGAGGGCGACCGGCCACACUGGGACUGAGACACGGUCCAGACUCCUACGGGAGGCAGCAGUGGGGAAUUUUUCGCAAUGGGCGAAAGCCUGACGAAGCAACGCCGCGUGGAGGAUGACGGCCCUAGCGGUCUUAAACUCCUGUCUAGCGGGACGAAUGUCUUUUUGCCAAAUAGGCAAGAAGAGUGACUGUACCGCUGGAGGAAGCUCCGGCCAACUCCGUGCCAGCCGCCGCAGU